UACGGGGGGAGCAAGCGUUGUUCGGAUUUACUGGGCGUAAAGGGCGCGUAGGCGGCGCAACAAGUCACUUGUGAAAUCUCAGAGCUUAACUCUGAACGGUCAAGUGAUACUGUCGUGCUAGAGUGCAGAAGGGGCAACUGGAAUUCUCGGUGUAGCGGUGAAAUGCUUAGAUAUCGUCAAGAACACCGAUAGUGAAGACAGCUAACUAAGCUUUAACUGACGCUGAGGCACGAAAGUGUGGGGAUCAAACAGG
rnacentral:rRNA from 1 species